rnacentral:tRNA from 1 species
GGAGGAGUGGCUGAGUGGUCGAAGGCACCAGUCUUGAAAACUGGAGAUCGGGAAACCGGUCCGUGGGUUCGAACCCCACCUCCUCCG